AGCGAACGCUGGCGGCAUGCCUAACACAUGCAAGUCGCGCGGGGGGCUUCGGCCGUCAGCGGCGGACGGGUGAGCACCGCGUAGGAACGUGUCCGGAGGUGGGGGACAACCCCGGGAAACUGGGGCUAAUACCGCAUGUGGCCUGCGGGCCAAAGCCGUGAGGCGCCCCCGGAGCGGCCUGCGUCCGAUUAGGUAGUUGGCGGGGUAAAGGCCCACCAAGCCCGCGAUCGGUAGCUGGUCUGAGAGGACGACCAGCCACACUGGGACUGAGACACGGCCCAGACUCCUACGGGAGGCAGCAGUGGGGAAUAUUGGACAAUGGGCGCAAGCCUGAUCCAGCAAUGCCGCGUGGGUGAAGAAGGUCCUCGGAUUGUAAAGCCCUUUCGGCGGGGACGAUGGUGACGGUACCCGCAGAAGAAGCCCCGGCUAACUUCGUGCCAGCAGCCGCCGUAAAAC
rnacentral:rRNA from 1 species